rnacentral:rRNA from 1 species
GUCAGAGGUUCGAAGGCGAUCAGAUACCGCCCUAGUUCUAACCAUAAACGAUGCCAGCCAGCGAUUAGCCUGAGUUCCUUAAAUGACUCGGCUAGCAGCUUCCGGGAAACCAAAGCUUUUCGGUUCCGGGGGAAGUAUGGUUGCAAAGCUGAAACUUAAAGGAAUUGACGGAAGGGCACCACCAGGAGUGGAGCCUGCGGCUUAAUUUGACUCAACACGGGAAAACUUACCUGGUCAGGACACUGGAAGGAUUGACAGAUUGAGAGCUCUUUCUUGAUUCAGUGGGUGGUGGUGCAUGGCCGUUCUUAGUUGGUGGAGCGAUUUGUCUGGUUAAUUUCGAUAACGAACGAGACUCUAGCCUACUAAAUAGACUGCUCAACUUUAUAGCUGCAUCACCUUGCAGUUGCUUCGGUGGCUGUAAGGCUGUGGUGACGUUGGCAGUGCUUCUUAGAGGGACAGGCGGCGGUUCAGCCGCACGAAACAGAGCAAUAACAGGUCUGUGAUGCCCUUAGAUGUCCAGGGCCGCACGCGCGCUACACUGAAGUGAUCAGCGUGCAAUUAACGUUUCCUACUCCGUCAGGAGUGGGUAACCCGUUGAACCUUCUUCGUGAUUGGGAUAGGGGAUUGUAAUUAUUCCCCUUGAACGAGGAAUUCCCAGUAAGCG